CUGGAGACGAGCCUCACGUCGCCGCAGACUCCCGGUGAAAGCACAACAGGACGGAAACCCAGUUCUCGAACUCGCCGGCCAGCGCAGCGGGGACCCUGUCUCACAAGGACCUGUGUGACUGAAGCUGGCAUGGAGCUGAGAAGUUUGUGUCGUUCAAGGAUGGAUAAAACCUCCUCCGGCCACACCUCGCAUGUCACUGUUGGGCCGCUUGCUAUCAAAUCAAGAGGGUCCCCAAUCACGUCAGACAGUAUGAGUGAAACCACCUUUGAUGAAAUGAUGGGGAAAAUCAGAAAUAUGCUCUUCUUUUAAUAAGCAAACAUUGUUAAAGGGGCAGUAUUAUGUGUUUUCCAGCCACACGUAGUUACGUUUUACAGCACAAUGAAGUUACUAUGCUACCUUCAGUUGUUAUAAAAAUGCAUAUGACUUAAAAAUAGAGGUUCAGUGAUUGCAGCUUUCCUUUCGAUCACAGAAAAAAAACGCCUGACCUGCCGAUUCUGAUUUUGGGCGACACUGAUUUUUUUUGUCUGAAUUGUUGCUAAAUAGAGCAAUAAAAUUAACAGUGUGGUGACUAUGGUUAACUGCAGGCAUGACCUGCUGUCAGUUAAACCUCUACCAUGGGAGAGCAGAAGAGGACAGUGGUUGAUUUAUAAACCUUUGCCAAGUUAGAUAAGAUCUGUGCAUAAAAUCGGCUUCACAUGUACGUAUCGACCGAUCACCAAUUUCUCAAAGCAAUCAAGCCAAUUUAUUGGUGCACCCCUACUUAAAAGAAAUUUGACUUUGUAAUUUAGUGCCUUAAAAUUGGGUCUCUGUCUCUGUUAAAAACUCCUGCGCUUUCUGAAAUUCUGCCUUCAGGAAGCCAUCACAACAUCACUCCUCUCUUAACGUUGAGCAACAUUUUAACCAGCGUUUCACUGAGAAGCUAGCUCCUACAAUGAGCUCAGCAGAUGAUCCACCAGGUGUUUGCUAGUGGCUGCUGGCUAGUCUGAAGGAGCUCAGUGGGGGGAAACUUUGGCUCAGAGGGGGAGGAGCUGAGUCUCGAAGGCGGGGCUAGGUCCACCAGGUGUUUUGCAGAGCUGAAUGGUUGUCAUGGAGAUUAAAGAAUUUCUCAAACAUGAAUGAAAGAAUCAAGUCAGCACGUCUCCAGGUAUGGUUUUGAUGAGGGAAUAACAUUAUAACAUGAUGUGAAACUCAAAAAAGUAGAUUUUACAUAAUACUGUCCCUUUAAACAACUGCUGUGACUUACCUGUGCGGGGUGACUUACCUGUGCGGGGUGAGCGUGGUGUGCAAGCCCUCCACCCUUCAACAAAGACAGCGCUCGACGAACUUUGUUGAGCUCUUGGAUGGUCGCGCCAGCAGCUGCAAGUCUGCGAGUUACAUCAAGCUUCUCCUGCAGCGAGAUUGGAGGUACUGGUGCUGGUAGCAGAGCAGAGCCUCCACCUAGACGGAAACAAACCUGCACAUUUGGCUAAUAAUAUGGCUAUUAAACAAGCAGAUUUGUAGUCAUUAUUGAUGAAGUUGCUUUGUGAACUGUAUGCUGGUUUGUAGUGUGAUUGGUUUACUUCCUUAGCAUUUUCUUUGCUAUAACCUGGUACCACAAAUCUCUUCUUUUAAAAAAUUACUGAAAUGUUGUACAUUGUCUGUGUGUAAAUAAAUAAACAGUAAACAGGGUAGAAAUCGGUGGGACUAUUAAAAAAAAAAAAUCAUGCGUUUUACCUGAUAUUAGCACAAGCAGUAAAUCUUUUUCUGUCAAUUCAGUAGCUAACUGCUUGAUGCCUUCGGCCUGCCUUCAGAGAGUCGUCAUCAGGUAGGUUGUGUUUGGCUCCCUCCAUGACUUUGAUCCGACUGUCUGCUUUUAGCAACAAAUGGCUGUGAUGGAUAAAAAGCAUAAAAUGUCACAUAUAUCCAUAUUGUUUGUGAUAUUUUAGAUAGUUUUCAGAAAUUAGUUAAACAUUCCUUGAAAUUGUUCACACUUUUUAACACAAAGUGGCAAAUGAUUGCAAAAGGUAAAAGUUAGCAUAACCGAAGUGAUUGGACUUUUGCAAUCUGUACUCCUAAACUUUGGAUUAGUUUAAUGUACGGAAUGCUGAGACUGUCGAGACUCAAGACCCAUUUUUAUUCAUUGGUGUUUGAUUCAAACAAAAAUGAAUCAAAUGACAAGAGUUUGAGUUUCUUUUAUAAUGUGAGUUUGUAUAUAAUUUGUAUUUUUGCUUUAAAUUUUUUUUCUUGUUCUUAGUAUUGUAAUCUUACUUCAUUCUAUUGAAUCGUACAGCAACUUGGUCAACAUUUGUUGUUUUAUAAAUAAACUGACAUUGUCAUAAGAA